rnacentral:rRNA from 1 species
UUGUUGCAGUUAAAAAGCUCGUAGUCGAAUUUUUAAGGGAAUCAAUUUUAUGUGGUCUUAAUGAACUGCAAAGGAAGAUGAUUUAUCUUAUUUUAUGCUUUUGCACCAUUGGAAUUCGUUUUCUGAUAGUGGAGUAAGUUUGUGUUUACUUUGAGAAAAUUAGAGUGUUCAAAGCAGUCUUACGGCUUUAUAUUAAAGCAUGGAAUGAUAAAUAAUGACAUCGGUAAAUUUUUGUUGGUUUGAGAGACUGAUGUAAUGAUUUAUAGAGUUAGUCGGAGGUAUUAGUAUUUUAUCGUUAGAAGUGAAAUUCUGGGAUCGACAAAAGACUAACAACUGCGAAAGCAUUUACCUAGAAUUUGCUCCUUGGAUCAAGAACGUAAGUUGGGGGAUCGAAGACGAUCAGA